UCCAACUUGAGCAGGAGAAGGUAAGGUAACUCUUGUUGUUUUCUGGUUUCCCCCUCCUUGGACCGAUUGUUGAGUGAGUUUUCUUUUUUGAACAUGACUUUGUCUUGAUGGGGUCGCACCACCAUUGCAUGCGGCUGUGAGUUCGAAUCCUUGAAGAAUGAGAUAAGAAGGCUGAUGUCCUUGCUUUAAGCGCUAAUCUUGGGGGUAUUCAUGGAGGUGCACAAGUUCUUAGAUAAUGGGACUGUUCGAUGAUGUUUGGAAUGCUUGAUUUAAAAGUAAAGUGCCAAGGAGGACGUAAAAGCUUUUGAGGACUUGGAUAUUUGCUGUUGGCUUCUACUGUUUGGGCAUGCUGCUAUUGAUGUGAUAUUUUAUGGAUGACUGUAUGAAAUUGAGAAGCUUUUAUUACUGUGAACUAUGAUUUUAUUAUUGCAUUACGAUUUUAUGACCAGCAAGUAUUUUGGAAACAGAUCUUGAAACGUUUGCGAAAAGGAUUUU